AGAGUGUGGGGUGUGCACUGAUGAAGUAAUCCCGUGGUGCUGGGAGUCUCUUCUGUGUGAAAGAGUAGGACAAAGCAUGGGUGGAUCAGAGCCCAGCUUUUCAAAUACUUUUCCAUGUGACUUAGAAAGCAAAUAUUAAUAUGCAAAUUCAAGGCUUUGAGCUACUUGAAUAUUCAUUACUUCUGAAAUCUGCUUCUAUUGAGAUGCUUAAACAUUAAGGACAUUAAGUGAACAUUACAUAAAUGGUAAGAAUGGCUCAUUAAUUAAAGCAGAGUUUGUGUGACUGUUGAUGAAUGGCUUGAAGUCCUAUUAAUUUGUUAAUGGUCUGUGUCAGUACAGAGUUAAUUUUUGAGGUGUGAAGUGGUACUUGAGUGUUGGAUAGGAGAUUGCAGAACACUGAUAGGGCAAUACCAGCUCUGCCAGUGUUGCUACCUUCAAGCAUGGUGUAAUUUAGGCAGAUGGGGGAAAGCAAUGGUUUUUUGUGCUCUCCAUUCAGCAGUUCUAUAUCAGUUUCUGUACUUUGCAUUCAUUAUCUUUAUAAAAAUCAUAAAUGGUAUGGUGUGAGAAACUUCUGAUGUGCAGCUGUGCCUGCUUGGGGAGCAUGCUGAGACCAUGAAUGGGAGACACUAGCAGUGCCAUGGAGCUCUGGACAGGACACAAAGCUGGAUUUGUUCAUGCAUGACCUGAAAUCCUAGUGCUGCUCUGGCUCCCUGCAGCCACCCUGUGAGACCUGGAGCCUGAGGAGAACCUGUGCUGCAGCAGCAGCAAAAAUGUCUCCGUUCCAAAACUUAAGUCAGAGCAAUUGCUGUUGGAAGGAGUGCCUGGAAUGCGAGGAUUAGCAAGCUCCUCUCUAAAGAGCUGUCAGAUGUAGGGAGGGAGCUAAAAAUGUGGCUGAUGGCAGAGUGAGGAGGUGACUGCUGCCACUGGCGAGCAGGGAAGUGGCCCAGAGGGGCCAUCUUAAUGUGAAAUAGAUGUACACAGGGUACUUCUGAGCAGCAAUGCAUUUGGAAGAGAAAACUAUUAAAUCACAAAUCCAUUAGGUGAGUCAGAUCCAUUGGUGGGCACCAGCAGGGAAUAAAGGAACUAGGGAUACCCAGGACCUGAGGAACAGAUGAGCAGCCACAAGGGCAGAGCCCACUGUACAUGAAGCAGCUGCAUAAACUAAAACCUGCACUGUCAGAAGUUUGGGAUCAAAUUACUGGAUGCCGUGGGAGUGCACAGGUGUGGGGUGUGAGAGCACAGACAGCAGAAAAUUUCUGCUGUAUUCAGUGUGGAAUGCCUGUUGAAGUGGUGGAAGGGCAAAGCAGCAGCAAAGCCCACCUGAGAGAGAUCACAGGGAGACAGAAGUUGCUUCCUUCAGUGCCAUCAGAAGACAUGGAUUAUAGGCAGGAAAGAAGCAAAUGUUUCUCAGCCAGUUCCCUGGCAAACCAGAGAAGUUGUUUUAUUUCACUUACCAAAAAAACCCCCAUACCUGAGAAUGAAUAGAUUGUUACUUUAAACAUGUUUGAACUGCAUCACUGCAAUUCAUUUUGAAUGUGCAGCUUGCAGCAAUCUCUGUAGAGAUGCAGGAAAGGAUUCAAUUCUUGAGCCUGUUUAUUGCUUUUAUCUGAGGUGUUCCAUUAGAAAGAAAUAGGAUAGCGUAGAAAUGCUUUUGCAAUAAAUGACUACAUCAGGAGUAUAAGGUAAAGCUGGGAGAUAACAUGAGGAUUCAGAGCAGGAAGACUCAGAAAAAUGCAUAGCAGAUGUGUAGUGCAUACGUGAUGGGACUCAGAUGUUUUCCUUGCUUCCUAUUUCAAACUAAAUGAACUAAAAAUCAUACUCUGAAUCAGGUAAGAACAAAGUGCUAAUGCUGUGCAGCUGUCCUUGCCGAAUGAUGGCCUUUGUCUCACAUAAUUACGCUCACAGCUGUAUGAAAUAGAGCUGUGAGCUAAGGGGAUGCUUUGGCCAUAAACCCAAAAGCCAUACUGAGGCCACGGGAAUGUUGGGGGUGUCCUGUGUGAGCCUCCCUGUGCACUUCCCGGUCACUGGAAGGAAGCCAGCUAGAUGCACAUCACCUUUUGUGGGAAAAUAAGAGCCUAACCUGUAAGGGUCACAGUGUAAUGUAAAAUAUGCAUGGAUUUAUCCUGGGGAGUCAUUACCAACACACCUUAGUGCUGCUCUUUGCCUCAGUGUGUACAUCAGCUCAAGUGGAAAAUCAAAUGACAGGUUAAUGCUAUGCCUCUGCAAAACCCCUCUGAGAGGAGCAGGCACUGUUGCCCAUAAAUAUAAACCUUUUAAGAGGUUAACAUGGGUGAAGGUGAAACAAAUAUUUCUGUGCUUAACAACAAACUGCUCUUCUCCCUGGAAGUCAAUUGCAAGGCUUCUGUUGGCAUUAAUGGGGGCAGGCUUGGCCUGUAGAGGGGCUGCAUAAAGAGCUCUUCAGUGUUUUGGUUAGGUACAGAAAUAAAAAUUAAAAAUUUGAAAAAAAAAAAAAUUAAAAACCCAAACCAACCAACCAACCAACAAACAAACAAAAAACAAAAAAAAAUCACACCACAAAAACAAAACAAACCAACCAAAAAUCCACCACCCCCCAAAAAAACCCAACAAAAACCCAACAACAAAAUACCACAAAUUACCUCCACACCGUUUCCAAAGCAUGGUAAUGACAUCUGUAUUAGACUCAAAAGGGAGCUGGGGAAGGGGUUGUUGAUACUCUGUUUAUUCCUGCAGGAGAAAUCAUUUAGUGGAGAGGGGUGAAUUUUGAUAGCUGGCCUUGGUGCGCUGUUACCAUGGUGAGUUGCAAACAAUUCCCCUCUGGAUUCUGGUGGUUUUGAGCAUUUGCUGAAGUCAAAAUUGUUACUGAGUGAAUUACUGAGUUCAGAAUUCCUGGCUUAUACUUCGUUGGUAGCAGAAUUCUGGGACUAAAGUCUCAGUCUCUGAACGGUUGGCUCCUGAUAAAGCAGUUUGAGGUGAUGUCUUAUGCUUAAAUAAGCAUCCUCUGGAAGGUGUGAAAUGUACCAAAUACAGGAAAUGGAAAAGAGCCUCUGGCAUUCCAUGAGAUUUUUGAGUAGUCCUGACUGUUUGCCAAGGCUCAUUCAAAGUAAAUUGCCAGGGUUACUUCCUAAUAGUUCAUGGGCAGUGACCCAUAUAAGAAAAACUUCUGCAACUUCACUUGCUUUAUUUAUCGAACAGAAUUUUUGGAAAAGGGCCUGCUAGAAACAGAUUAUGCACAUUGUAUUUAUAUUUGCUGCCUUCUUGCUAUCAGAUAACUCUUUCAGGUGGGAGUGACUGACCAGAUAAGGUUUGAUCUUCUGUUGCUGGAGAGAGGAACCAGGAGGGCUGAGCUGGAGAGCAUUAAUCCACAAAGAUGCAAUUAAAGGUAGAAAACAGGAGUUGUCCAUACAGGGAAGAGAAAAAAAUGGAAGUAAUGAAGUAUAAUGUUGAUCUGUUCUAGGACUGGAAUGAGGCUGACAGAUGAAAAUCCAAUUUGGAAAACAGCUGGACACAUUUCAGACUCUGGGAUAUUGUGUCACUUGGACUUGGAGAAGCACUGCAUUUAUGACAGAUCUUUGGAAGGAUGUGCUGUGCUCCUGUUGCCUGGUACUGUGGAAAAAAUGAGUUCUGACUCAGAUGUUUGUGUGGCACAGGUUGGAAAUGAAUUAAUAACAUGCUGCAGUAAUUGGCUCUUUAGGGCUUGAAAGUGGGAAGAAAAGAGCAGGCUUUGGCUAAGUAUGCUCUUGAUAUGGUGAGGAAGCAGAUAUGUAAGGGAAAGAAUAGCUCCUUGCUGUAUAGAACAUUGUCUGGACACAUAGCUCUUUAAUUGUGUGUUCUACAUGAUUGUAGGCGAGGAAGUCCUGAAUUCAGCUUUUCAUUUCGUUACACAGUGGUGUUGGGCUUUUUCUUACCUUUUUCCUAGGCAAAAGGGCACAUUUCUUUCAUAGUAAAAUAUUUAGGAUAUUACAAAUAACUUCUCAGCAAUGCAUAGUUUCUGCAUGAAAAUGGAAUUAUGUCAGUAAUGAAUGUUGACUUGGAAUUACAGCCAGUAUGGUAAUGAAACAUAGCCCCAUUGGAUUUAAGUAAUUUGCAAAUUGAGGUUGUUAUCAGUUAAUAGUGAUACCCCUGGCUGAUGUGAGAAAAUGGUCGUGCUACUCAACUGAAUAGGAAGUAGGGCUUGUAAACAGAUACAAACUAGCAUAAAUGUUAAGUUAUGGAUUAAUUCCAUGCAUACAUUGCAGUAAAUCCCCACUAGCAGACAGCUGUCAAGACUGCCUAGAAAACUUGACUACAUUUGUUUUUCAAUGUGAUCAUUCUCCUACUCUUCCUGUUCUACUUCUAGGAAAGCUCUAAGCAAUUAUUUUUGUGUGAAUUCCAACAGUACAUCAGUUUAUCACAGUGCUUGUGUUAGUUAUACAUAUUUUUAAUUAACCACAAGUUAUUCAGGUGCUAAACAGGUGCAUCAGCUUCUAGGUCAUUUUGACUGUCUUAACUAGAACCUUUCAAAAGAGUAGGCAUAAUAAAUCAUAUUUGAAAGAAGAUUCAUCCAGGGUAUCUCUGGAGUUUUUAGUAAAUGUGUAUUUUUACCUGAAGGAUCUGCCAGGGAAUCAAACUGCAUCUCAGAUCCCAGUGAACCCAGAGUGUUUCACCCCCUCUGUAUAAUUCUGAUUGUGUGCUGCUCAACUUGAGGCCGAUGUUUUGUUGCCACAGGCUUUACUCUGACACAAGAUUUGACCAGGGACCUGUGUGACUACAGAGCAUCUGGGCUGUUUCUUUACCUCCCUUAAUUAAAAUCAGAUCUAUUUGUUAGGAAACAUUGUGGAAAGCCUAGAGGCCCCAAGAGGGAGCCUCCAAUAGAGAAACCCACUGCAACCCUCUGGAAACUUCGAUGCUCAGAACGGUGAAAAUCUCUGCAGUUGUGACAAAGCAGAGUGUGAAAGAACAACAAAGUCACCCUGACUGGUCAGUAAUUUGCAAGCAGAUACAAAUAAAACCUGAAUUCUCUUAUUGUGUCAACUGGGGUCCAGUGAAGCAUUUCAUUUUCCUGAUAGAAAUUGAUCCUAUAGAGUGAUUAAAUAUACCGGUCAAAUAGCUUCUCAAAUAAGAAAUAGUUAACUAUUUUUUGUCUCUUUCAGUAGCUGUGAAAAGUUUAGAAAAGUUUUUUGGCUCUGUCUACAUUUUCCCCGAAGAACAACAUGCUAUUAAUGGUAAAAGGUUUGGUUGAAUGAGAGUGCUACAAUCUGUCUGAGGAUAUGGUAUGGGUGACACAAAGGCUUCCUGCUGCUCUGCCAGUCUCUGUAACGCAGAAAUGCUUACAGGAGUUUGCUACCCUCGACUUUUCACUGCCUCCCUGUUGGUGGACUCACUUAGGCCUCCAAGCAGAGUGUUGAAAAUGCUGCUAAAUCAGAACACCUCUUCCUGAGUGUCUUUAAGGUGUGACAAUGGGCUGUAAUCCUUUUAUUCGGUAAGGAUGAACCCUUGUAGAAUUGCCCGUGAGUUACUGGGAUGUGGUUUAACAUUCUCUCUUCUUGUCUGAAGUCAGAUAUCUGGCACUGACUGGCUGAAAAGAGGACGUGGUGUUUCUUCAGUCACACACCUUUUCCCCUGGCACUGAACACUGUAGCCGGGAAGUGCAGGCAGAAGAAGAAUUUGCUUAUUGCCAGAGGAAGCUGCAAAGUGGAAAAGACUGAGCCAGGUUUCCAGCUUCCCCUGUGUUCCAGCCUGCUGCAGUCACCAAAAAAACUUGGGAGAAUGAAUCUGUCAUAAGGUGACAUGACAGGCCCCUGGCAUCUGUGUCUGAGCAUUAUUCUCCAAGAAAAAGAGAGUGCUUUAAAGAAGCCUUGUUCGUGGGGGGUAGCAGUCACUCCCUGCCAGCCUCCCUCUUACUUACAAAGACACCAUCAGGGAUGGUGGUGAGCCUGCUCGUCCAUUUACCAGCAUAACAGGAAUUACUGCCUCUAAUAAAUAUAUUAUUAUGUGGCCAUUAGCUAUCGGUUAUAAAACUGCUUAAUGUCUGCAUGAUCACUUGUAAAUGGAUUUGGAAAGCAGCUAAAUUGGUUAUUUAUUUCCCAUACUGAACAGCAUUAUUUAUUGGCUUGGCUCAGCAAGUUUGAUUUUCAAGCUAAAAUGAGAUUUUAAGUUUGUGAUGACCUAACCAGGGUGUAAGUCAAUUCAGGAAAACUGUAUUUUUCUGAACAAGUGUUGAAUUUAAUGAUAAAUAUGAUUCAAAAAAUUACCUGGGUUUCUCUUUCCUUUCAAGUUCAUUAACUAAUUACUUUCAAAUGUGCUCCUGAGACGAAAGUCUGAGAAACUAGGGGAUUUAAUACAAGUUACAUUGAGAUUCUGAUUCCAAGAGGCCCUGUGAGUCAGCAGCUCCCUGCUUGGCAGAUCAUUUGCUGUAACAAUGCUUCAAAAUCUGCUGCUACAAUAUUUGAAAGACUGAAGCAAGUAAAUAAGUUUAAUUUCAUGGGAUGUAGUCUUCUCACUGAAGUUGAUCCUAUUUAUCUCCCCUGUGUAAAAACUAAUUUUUAGCUGGUUUUUUUUUUCUAACAAAGAAAGGCUGGAGGCGUAACCUUCUGACUGAGUUCUAACAAAGCAAGGCAAGGCAAGAAAAACACUGAGGCAAAGUCAGCAAGUGCCAGGGUGCAGUAUUUGCUCCUCCAGUAAUAUUUAAUGCAUGUUAAAGACUUCAUCCCAUAAGCAGACAUUGCACACAGGUAAGUUCCUAGGCCAUCAGAAGAAUAAAGAAAGAAGCACUUUAACACUUCUGAAAUACAUUGGAUUGCUUUUAAAUACAGGAGGCUGCUGACUUCCAUGGCUGUAACAGGCACUUGGGAAGCUCUUGCAUUUGUUUGCUCAGUAGUGAAAAGAAAUUCCUGUGAAGCAGAUCAGUAUUAUUUGAUCAGUAUUAUUUGAUCAGUAUUUCUGGUGAGUACAGAGCUCAGACUUCUAAUUAAAUACUGCCUAAAAAUAUCUCCAGAUUUUGGUAGGAGGGAGAGGGGGGCUGGAGCCACAGUGAAAAGGUGGCAGUGGCCACAGCUGAGCAUAUUAAAGCCCUACAAGAUGUUCAGGGGAGAUGCCAAAGCUAAUGAAGGCCAGCAUGGAAAAGGCUCUGCGGGACUCAAACAGGCUGUUGGGUGGAUGUGCUGGCAGGGGGAAGCCACUUUCCCUUCCCUUCACGUUUUCCUGGGGUUUUUUGUCUCCUUGCUCCUGCCUUGCAGCAGGGCUGGGGCACAGACCUCACUGCAGCGAGCUCCUGGCGCUUCCAACAGGGACAGGGAAGACAAGCACUGCUUUUAAAACAAAAGCAGCCAGGAGAACAAAAGACCUGUGUUAUGAGGCCAGUCCCGUGUGAUUGGUGUCUUUUUAUUUCCCCUGGGCUGCAGACAAGGUUGCAGAAGAUGUGCCUGACUUGUUUGCAAAGGCACAGCUCCCUGGGAAGGAUUUGAGGCUCUCCAGAGAUUGCUGAACCUCUGAGAGUAUUUGGUCUUUUGCUGGCUGCAUUUGCCAGUAUUUAGUGAAAGAUGGAAUACAGGUCUGCUGUUCCAGUUGUAUAAACUUAGAACAAUUAGCUUUUUACACAACAGAAUUAGUUACAACCAUCAAAAAAAAAAUUAUUUUAACUGUCUUUGUGUUGAAAUCCACCCUCUACUUUCUUGAAUGAAAACCUACUGUUACUUCCAAUAAAAAACCCAUAUUUGUCUCAGUAUUGAAGCAAACCUGGAGGAAAAAAAAUGCAUCAAAACCAUGUUUUCAGGUAAUUGAAACAGAAUACUUGUCUAAAACUGAACUCUUCCCACCUCAGCAUCUAUCUUCAAAAUGCUUGAAUUAUCCAAUUUUAAGACCUUUUAAAGCCAGAAUCUCAGCUACUUAGGCCAUGACUGAGGUUUUGAGGUUUUUCUUAUAAACUGUAUUUUGCAUUACAAACAAAUGACUGACCAUGAGGGAGAACUGAAUUUCUGACAGGGAGACCUUUCCUCCCCUGCAGAUGUUUCCAGGCUCAGGGCUGAGUGCAGCUGGCAGCUCUCCUUUCCCAGGAUAACAUCUCUCCUUUCACAGGAUAACAUCUCUCCUUUCCCAGCACAGCCUGCUCGCUCCAUCUCACAGCACAGCCGAGUUAAGCAGCAAACGUCCUGUGAAACUUGCAAAAAUGGGAAGGAAGAAGAAAUUCUAGACAGAAAUGGCAGGAUAUGCCAGAAACAGUAUUUUGCAAAGGGGGAAAAAAAGGCAGGUGGUAUGACAUUGAUGUAUUUAGAUGGAGUGGGAACAGUACUUAAGGAAUCUUUCGGGAAUUAUACACAUUGCCAGCAUUUUAUGUCUUGUACAAACAAUUGCAGACAUUAGAAAUUUGCUUGAUUCUAUAAAUAUAAAAGCACUAAGUGAUUGCAAAGAAUAUUGGUUUUGCUUUAUGGGUGGAGAUUCCUCGCUAGGUUCAGUGUAUUGUAGUGCUGUUUUUAGCUCCUUUGUACUGGCUUCUUUCUCUUUUAAAUUGAACAAAAUGUAAUAAAACCCACGUGGGUGCUCCCUGCAGAAGAAAGCAAGGGCAUCCAACAUUAAUGCUGUGAGGCUCUGCCACCAGAAUUCAAGGGCAGAGUCACUGUAGCUGGAAAUCAGAGUGGUCAGAUUUUCCAUGGGCUCCUGACAGGAAAAUGUAACAUAUGCUGUAUAUCAAAAGUACUUACAUUUUCAAUUCUGCAUCACAGCUUGUUGCCUGUUAUUUCCUUGUGGUUCACUGUUCAGGCUUGAGGAACAUUUUUCUCGAUUUACAGCUCUAUUAAACUGAUAAAUCAAUCACUUGUGCGAGGGGAGGCAGUUUGCUGACAUUUGCUUUGCCAACACACUGCCACCCACAACAGCAUUCGCAGGUCCUCAAGGAUACGGUAAGAGGGAGGAAGCUUUCCCUGUAACUUAAUUUUCAAAACAUGAAACCUGAUUCUGGUGCUCUGAGCAACUUCAAUGAGAAUAUUUUUGAAGAGCUGUCACUUGCUAAUCCAAUAUUUAACUUGUUUGUUUGGGGUUUUUUACAUUGUUGUAUAACAAAAUAACUGCAGUAUUGUUCAAGAUGUAAAAGCCAUCUUUUUUUUAAAAAAUGACAGUCUUAGGCUUUUAAAAUUUUAAUUACCAAAAGGAAAGAAAAUGGAAAACAAAUAUUUUGUGGAGCUACACGGAAUAUUUUUUACCAAUGUUUAAAUUGUCUGACAGCCAUACUCUGGGAUUUUUUUGUCUUUCCUUGAGUGCACACCUACCUCUGGAGCAAAAGUGUCAAGGCAAUUCUGUUCAGAAUUGUCUUGAGCCUUCUGUGUAUGGUGCAUAAGUUGCUCUGUUAUGUGGCCAUUGGUUUAAGCAGUGAUAGACCUUUUUUUUUACUAAACGAGACAGUAGUGAGGUUACCUGAAAGCUGCAGGUGGAAUUCACUGCACCAUGCAACAGAGUUCCAGCCUUUAGUUAUGAGCUGCAGAACAGUGCCAGGGUCUGAGAAAGGGGAUGGGAAAGCAAAGUUCUUGUUGGAGCUUGGUUUCAAACAGGGGACAGUACAGAUACAGCAGGACAGCACAGAUACAGCAGGACCCCUUUUUGUUGUCUUCAACUGAACAAACGCAGCCAGAUUCCUCCUGUUAACACAAGUGAUUUUGCACAGUCAGGUAGAAAGAAUCAUAUACACUGUGCUGUUUUCAGACUAGCAGUCUUCUCCUUAGGCAACAGAAAUACAUUUGGGGUUAAAUUUUAUUAUUCUGAGCUAGUGGUUUUGUCAAAAACAGCUUAUUAAUACAUAUUGCCUCUUUGUUAAGAUGAUGAAUUUAUACAAGCUUUAUUGAAGUUAUUCUUCUUUUGUAUGGGUGUAAUUGAUGGGAGAACUGGCUGAGUGUCUUGGAAAGAGGGAACGUGAAAAAAUAAAAUGAAGAAGCAUGUACUCUGUCAGCAGUGUUCCUCAUAUAAAUAAGUUUAUGCUAAUUUUAUGUUUCAUCAUUUAUCACAAUGCCAGGAUGAAUCCUUUCAUGCCUAUAUAGGAUUUAAAAAAAAUUUGUAAGAACUUUUGUUUAACUUUUGCAGUAGCACUGAAGGGAUCAAGUCAACACAACGUGCAUAACUAUUUUCCUGGUUUUGCAGUGAGAGCCUUAGUUGUUGGUCUUUCAUUUACAUUUGCCACAUAAUUCUCUUCCCUAAUAUUUUCUUGUGUCAUUCUCCUGGUGUUCAUUCUUAGACAAAUCUGCAUCUUCAGGUGAGUGCUGUUUCCAGCAGUGCAGCUGGGAUGUUGCAGAGGGCAAGCAGGAGCAUCUCCUGGUGUCCAGGCACGUUGGGCUGUGUUGACUGCAGUUUCCUUCUCUAGGCAGCCGUUCAAGACACUGGUAUGGUGCCUGUUUGAUCUUUGUAUGAUGAAAGCAGAUUCUGAUAAAAAUUUAGGUGUUUCCAGAUGCAUUCUGUAUGUGCACACUGAUGAUUGAGAAAGAUGGAAGAGAAGAAAAACAGCUCGAGGAGAAAAAGUUAAGUCUGGGUGGAAUAACAUGGUGUUUUGUACUGCUAUACCUGUUAACAAGACUUGCUUGGCUUUCAGAUCCAGCUCAAUCAUGUCCCUAUUUAGAGAAACUCUUUUGGGGAUAGCAGUAAAAUUCCCAGCACUUUUGAAAAGCAGGAACAUAAAUAAAAUUUUGUCUAACUUAGAGUAGCCAAUUCUGAACAAUAAAACAAUCUGUACUGCCACAGUA